UUUCCGUAGGUGAACCUGCGGAAGGAUCAUUAUUGUAUAACCGAGGUGCGAGGGCUGUCGCUGACCCGAAAGGUCGUGCACGCCCGAGUGCCCUCACUCACAUCCAUCUCACCCCUAUGUGCACCACCGCGUGGGUCCCCCUUUGGCUUGUUCGGAGGGGGGCUUACGUUUUCACACAAACUUUGUAUGCAGUGUAGAAUGCAUUUUUUGUUUUUGCGAUCACGCAAUCAAUACAACUUUCAACAACGGAUCUCUUGGCUCUCGCAUCGAUGAAGAAAGCAGC
rnacentral:misc_RNA from 1 species